UCCGGGGGAGUAAAGUGAGCCUAAAUUUUGCUUAGGGGGUUAAGUGGACAAAGUAAAAAAGUGAGGGGAGUAAAAUAGGCUUUUUCCUUUUCCUUGAUGAAUUUUGCAUUUGAAAACUGAUGGGACAAACUUUUAUGUGCUGAUAUUUAUUCAAGUUGAUGCAAAACAUAAACAGUAGAGUGUAGAGAAAGUGUUUUUAAGGUUGCCUUUGCUAUUGAUCACAUGUUUUUGGUUCUACUUUGAUUUUUAGUGAUCAGGAGCAUUGUUAUUAAGGUGAUAAUUCAAGAAAUCUCACAACAGUCAUACUGUCUAAUAACAUAUUAUGUAAACAGUAAUAAAAUCUGGAGUAUCACACGUUAUAUGUAAACUCUGCUAAAAAAGGCAGCUAUGAUCUAUGAUGGUCAAGUAGAUCAUUUAAAUCCUUCAGUUAUGGAUGGCCAGACAUACUUUCUCAUUGCUGUAUGCAUAUCCAACAUGAUGUAGAGAAAGCUAGUAAUAGUAAAUACUUCUGCAUAUUGUCUCACUUGUCAUUGUUUCUGAACACCAAAAAUGAGGCUUUGCGGUUUAUUGCAGAUAAUAACAUUCAUGUUAAGUGAUUCAACUUAUACUAUUGUCUUAGUUUGUUUACAGCAAAAAAUGCCUUGCGUACCACACACCACCACAUAUCUUAGCUGCCAUAGGGAUGACUAUGUAUGCAAAGUUGCUAGGCCUUGUGGGUAGUUAUGACAAAUUGACAACAGAAGAAUCCCAUUAGAAUACAUAGUAUUCUGGUGGAUGUCAGUGACGUAUCAGUAGUAGCUUAGUUGUUUAAUAUAUUCGUUCUGAGUUACUCUACAUCUGAAUUGAUUAUAGAUUUUCAUGUUUCUUGCUGCCCUUUUUCUUGUGAUUCCUUGUUGAGUUGUAUAGUGUUGUUUGGAAUAGUUUACUGCAUGCAAGGUAAACCUAGGCUUCAUGGAUGACAUAUUAUUCCAAUGGAUGACAUGUGUGAAAUUAGCUUAGUUAUUGUAUUAUAUCAAUUCAGAUUCAGAGUAGUUGGAUACUUAUGCUCGGAACGCUAACCCUUCGGAGUUCAGUAGCUAUUAUAGCUGAAAGGUCAUUAUGGAUGAAUUGUUGCAUGUGACUUUUCAAUUCCCAAGAAGCAUUUAGCAAAUGUUCAAAUGUGUUAAACAAACUAUAUCUUUUACUCCUGUUAGACAACUCAAAAUUAGGCAUAUUAGUUACCAGAUGGCAUGGCGACUUGGCUCUCUCCAUUAGUCCUUCGCACCUAGAACUAAUCAUGUAUUUUCUCUGCUUCUUUCUCCUGUGAAAUUUAACGCGUCUGGAAACGCACAAGGUAUAAUUUUUCUUUUGGUGCAUAUGUAAGAUAGUCAAAUGCUACUCUGUUUUAGAAUUUACCUUAGUAUCCGUAUGUGAAGACAACAUGAAGAUAUACCAACUUCACCUUGCAUUGUUUGCGUAGCGUAUUUAAAUUGUGUGAGUGUUAGGGACUUGGAGGACCCGGCUCGGCCCUUAGGGGUGGUCCAGAGGCACGCCAGCGCAGCCGUCGGCCUCCUGGGCGAGUCGGAAGAGGAGGCGCCGUAGAGGGGCGCCGCACAUGGCAGCCGCUGGCCCCACCGGCAAUAUCCCCUUUUGGAGUCUUUGAAUAAUAGGAAAGGUUAAAGAGUCUAGAGACAAUUAGAGAGUUUGUUUAGGAAAGGAUGGAUCCAAUCUAUAAGGAAUCCAAUCCUAGUUAUCUUAGGACUCAAGUCAUAGGUCCCUAUAUAAUUGAGGGAGUUGUACUCAUUGGAAAUCAAGAAGGAAGAGAAUUCUCUCAACCCUCCUGCCUUCCUUUCUCCCUGCGCCAACCGCCCCUCCCCCCUGCGCCGUCCCUCUCGCCCUCCUGCGCCGCCCUAGCCACCCCCUCCUCUAAGAUCCUAACACAUGGUAUUCAUAGACCAGGAACUAGCCCACCAUGUCCACCUCCAAGCCUGCCACCAUGGAUGACCUCAGCAAGCAGAUGGUUGAGAUGCACCUCCAUCAACAAGCUGCUUGCCACCAUGAAGGUGGUGGACGGGCGCCUGACGUCCCUGGAGAAGAAGCCCGCCGCGUCGACCACAAGCAGACCCUGAAGGCAAGGAGGCGGCAGAUGCCAAGGCCAAGGCACCUGCUGAACUGCAAGAGCAGUCGUUGGCCGACCUGGCCAGGUGCGCGCAGUAGCCUUCGCUGAGCGCAAGUUCCUCUUCGACAAGGUGAGGGAAGUAGGAUCAUCCUACAGCGAUGAUGCGACAUCGUCGACAAGGUGGUGAAGGAUCUGUUCCCCACCCCGAUAGAUGGAUCUCAGCCGGAGCAACCGACAGACGUGCCACCGAACUUCUACUCCAUGUUGGUGCCUCGCUACCACAAGAUGAACUUCCCGAGCUAUGACGGGGAGGACGACCUGCUGCAGUGGCUCAACAGAUGCGAGCACUUGUUCACCAGGCAAUGGACGCCAGAUCAUGAGAAGGUCUGGUAUGCAUCGUUCCACCUCACAGGCGCCACUCAACUGUGGUACAUGCGUCUCUCCCAGGAGAGCCCAAUCACAGAUUGGAGCGAGAUUGGAGCAAAUUCGGCCCCCCCUCCAGACGCUACCUGCUAGGCGAGUUGGUCGCCUUGCGGCGGACCGGCACUGCGCACAUUCCUCGCGCACGUGGCGCGCGCGGGACCCCUAGGCAAGGAGCAGCAGGUCAACAUCUACACCGCUAGGCUAGGCAAGCCCCUCCGCACCAAUGUCGAGCUGUAGGACCGGCGGGACAUGGAGCAGGCCAUGGCACUCGCUCGGGCCUAUGAGCGGCGCCGGUGUUAGAACCACCCAAGACGAUGACGACGGCAUCAUCAGCAUGCGCCCCCCUCGCGCACAACUACGACCAAGCCAAAGAGCAUGACUACACCAGCAGCAGGCACGACAACGACGGCAGCUACUACGGGGGCUCGCUCCUUCAAGCGCCUCACAUUUGACGAGAUGGCAAAGAGGAAGUGCUUAGGCCUUUGCUUUAACUGCGACGAGCAAUUCAGCAGAGGGCACAAGUGCAAGCAGCUGUUCGAGAUCACCAUCGUCAACGACUUCGAUGAUGACGACGAGCCAUCACUGAUGGUGAUCACGGCUGGCCCCAACGGAGGUCUCCAGGGCUGGUGCACCAUGCGCCUGGUGGGCGCUGUAUUCGGGGAGGGCGCACGUGUCGUCAUCGACACGGGCGCCACACACAACGUCGUCGACUUUAGCUUCGCCCGUCACGUAUAAGUCUCGGAGAGGCGCAUCAACGUCGGCAUCACCAUCGGCGAUGGCUCCAGGGUGCGCAGCCGUGGCCUAUGCCGUGGGGUACCCAUCCGAUUGGACCGCGAGGUCUUUGCCCUCAACGCCUACAUCUCCACCCUCGACGGCGAGACAGACGUCAUCCUUGGUACCCCGUGGCUCGCGUCGUUAGGUCCUAUCACUUGGGAUUUCAGGACGCUAACCAUGAGCUUCAGGCGAGGCGACCGCAUCGUCCAGUUCGUGGGAGUCUUACCAACACCAGCUACUCUACUACCAGCCCCGCUAGUCCAGGCGGCCCUGCCAGCUCCAUCGGCAGCAGCACUAGCAUCAUCAUCGACUGCACCACCAGCCCCACAGGCGUACAGCUCCAGAACGGCGCCAUCGACCCCGACUUGCGCCAACAUUGAGGGGUUAAGGAGUGGGAACGCGUGCGAUGUGAUCUCUCCAUCUUUACGACAUCCGGAGGGCAGUUCAAGAUGAGCCUGAAUUGGCCGCCGUGAGGCGGGGAAUCACGUCACGCCAGGCAACUCGCACCUAGACCAUCGACGACAGCGUCAUCUUCUUCGCCGGGCGCGUCUACCUGCCAGCCUUGUCACCCCUGCUGUUGACACUCAUCCGCUCACGUCUCGCAGUCGGCGGCCACACGAUGACGAGUAUGGCGACAGCUCGCUCUUUCCCAGCCAUGGUGAUCCUGACACAGGAGUGGCCACGAGCGUCCCUGGUACAACUCGACGUUCUCUUUUUGGACCAGCUAGAUGUGAGUUCCUCGUUGCAGGCCGCAACUUCUUCCGCGUCAACACCGAGAUGGGUGUGCCAGAUAUCUCGCCGCUACCUCGGGACGCCUCAGCUGUACUGUUCAGGGAGGUAUGGGACCUCACAGCGCCAGGUGCACGGCCCCGUACAUCCUUCGUCUACAGGGUGCCGGGUGUCCUCCUGAGAGGGGCUAGUGGGCUACAGCCACGCAUCUUCAAUUGGCUUCCUCCACCGACGACACUGGCAGUCGACAUGGGGGUAACGCGAUAGGCCAUAGCUGCGCCAGGGCCCAACAGCAACCGUGGGAGGCAACGCCACCUGCUGGCCACCCACGACUUCAUCCUUCAUGGCUACAUCGGCGACCUGCGCUACUAUCUCCACUUCCACGUCGUCAGGACACUACGCAACAUCACCACCAUCUUGCUCGUGGGGCCGCCGCCCUAGCCGCCCCCCUCCUCUAAGAUCCUAACAAUGAGGUCAGCCUGCUAGCCCACUAGGUCCGCCGUGCAAAACUGUCUUUGCGGGUACCUGCAGAGACACGUUUUGCAAGUGGGCUUGAAAUGUGCAGCCUGCAAAGUCUUGCAGGAUUUUGUAGCCAGCCUGUGAGAUCCUGCAAUGUGCCUGCCACACCUGCAAGGUGGGGCGGCAUUCGCUCGGCAUUAUGCUGUGUGGUGACGGUGCGCUGCAUCCGUAUCGGCAUUACACUGUGGGAGUGCAGCUGGUGCCAUGCCACUGCCGUCGCUGCCGGCGGCCCUCCGGCGAGUGUCACGUGCUGCCCCACCUAUUCGUUCGGCUCCUCCGCUUGCACGACAGCACCCACUGCUACCCCACCAGCUCCUCUGCCUCUCGUUUCCGCUUGUACGAUGGCACAAUCCUCUCGUGUCCCGUCGCCGCUGUGAAAGACAAGCUCUGUGAGAGGGAGUUGGGGAGAAGACCUACAUCAAUUGGGGCAGGAGCAUCAGAUUUUUAAGGUACCAUGGCAACAGUGCCAUCCAAUGUCAACCACAGGAAGUUGGGGGCUCCUCAGGUUGCUCACCUUCGAUCAGCUCUCCAUGAACAAAGCGCAUUGGCUUUCCUGCAUCCACUGUAGCGUUCGAGUCUGCAUUCAGUACAGGUGGACGAAUCAUCAGUGACCAUAGGACUAGGCUUUCGGGCAACACAGUACAUCUUACAUGGGACAUCAUGAAUAUUAACAGCUCGGGUAGCAGCAUUUUAGAACUUGGAGGUGCAUGAUCACCUGAAGGACAAGGUGCGUCGUUCGUCGGGGGCGGCCGGCGUAGAUUGUAGCCGAAGGAGGUGUGAGGGCGAGGGGAGAAGAGCCGCCGUCGACCCGUGGUUGCCGGCGACUUUGCUGCUGGCCGAUCUGCAGGGAGGAGUUGGAGGUGGUCCAGUGUGAAGGCACAGGGAGAGGUGGAGAGGCAGGGGCAGGGUAGGGUUUAACCUUUCCCUUGCUGAUCCAAAAUAGAUUACACCCUUUUAGUUUUAUAGUGACUCCCCUCUUAACUCCCAAGCAAUCUAAGGAUGGAAUCCUUCCAUCUUACAACUCAAUCUCUAAUUAUUACCUAACUUAAACAAAAGGACUUUCUAAUACUUGAAUAGACUAAAGAUAGAAGGGAGGGGGCUGUUGGGCGCCUAGACUCCCUAGUAUGGUGCGGCCAGGGCUGCAGGUGUCCCUGCACGCCUGCCUACUGCUGUUGGGCCUCCCUGGCCCAUGGCGCCAGGGCCGUGGCUGCCCAUGCACAUGACAUGCUGGCUUUAGUGUUUGCCUGUUUGGAGUUUUAGGGCUUAGGUUCUAAGGUAGGGGUGUCGGACAACUGGAAUUCAGUACAACUAUAGGGUACGUGGCUACUUGUCAAGUGAUAGUCUUGUGCUGUGAAUAUAAUCCUGAAACUAAAACUUAUGUGCUUGCCCUUGUUGAUGCAAGGUAGCUUUGCAGGAA